rnacentral:rRNA from 1 species
CAGUCGCCGCGGUAAUACGUAGGUGGCAAGCGUUGUCCUGAAUUAUUGGGCGUAAAGGGCUCGCAGGCGGUUUCUUAAGUCUGAUGUGAAAGCCCCCGGCUCAACCGGGGAGGGCCAUUGGAAACUGGGAAACUUGAGUGCAGAAGAGGAGAGUGGAAUUCCACGUGUAGCGGUGAAAUGCGUAGAGAUGUGGAGGAACACCAGUGGCGAAGGCGACUCUCUGGUCUGUAACUGACGCUGAGGAGCGAAAGCGUGGGGAGCGAACAGGAUUAGAUACCCCCGUAGUCCCUGUCUCUUAUAA